AUUCCACAAAAAAUUAUCUGAGCUUGGGGAUAAAUACAAAACCCAGAAAGUGCAAGUGUGUGGUAACAGAGUAUUCAACAACAAGUAGAUGCUUCAACAAAGCGAGUGUGCGUAUGCUUCAAUUUAUCAACAUAAUCAAUGGAACCAAUGAUUUUGUUCCUAUACACAUCUUCCACUUUUGCAUGAAAGCAAAGGGAGAAAGAAAAAUGUAAUCUCUACAAAAUUGUUUGUUUGAACUAGAUACUAUCAUGUGUGUCGGUGUCUCAGACGUAUUCAAGUGAGAACCGACAUGAUAUUUAAGAAGACAUCUUCUUUGCAAGGAAUUGUAAGACCACCCAUUGGAUGAUGGUACCCAUAUUCUUCCACUGCUUUGCUUAGCAAGUCCUGGAACGAGGGUUGAUUUAAGCAUCCAAUCGGAAUCACGAACCUCUUCUUUUUCUCUCCGACAUACACUGCAAGGGUACUGAAAACUUAUAUUCAGUGGUUGCAUUUGUACAAUGCCAUUCAUUGUGAUAACAGCUUGCAUGACAAGUCCUCGCCAACAGCACGGAAGGUACUUAAGAUUGAACUCUCCAUCAGCACCUCAGAGUUUACUACGGAAAAAGUACAAAGCAACAUACAAUUUAAUUGCAGAAUGAGACAUUGUUUGUUGCAUUGGUAUAUUCCUCUAUUGUCAUUGUUGUGUGUAUUUGGAUGAAGUAUUGGAAUAAUGGAAUAUACCUUCAGUUUCACUCCAACUGCCGGUAUCCUUCAGGGGAAUUGUGAGACCUCCCAUAGGAUGAUCAUAGCCGAACUCAUCUUCAGCUUGUUUUAGCAAUUCUUGAAAUAAAGGCUGGUUCAAGAAUGAUACGGGAAUCAUGAACCUCUUCAUUUUCUCUCCAACGUAGAUUGCAAGGUAGCCUUUUGGGACUUCCGCAACCUUUCUAGCUUGGCUUGUAAAUGAUGUCCGUCUUCCAACAGUUGACAUGAGCGAAAUCUCGUGUAUGAUCCGAAUGAAGAUCAGAACAUAGCUAUCGAUAAACAGAAACACUUAGAUACUCAAUUUGUUUUCAUAUGUAGCAGCAGCACCAUAUGGAGGAGAUCCCAUUAUGAUAAACAAAUCUUCAUCUCACUUGGUUUAGUAACAACACUAUCUUCACAUAGGCAAUUCAGCACAUUAGUUGGUUUUAGGGCUAGAAUAAAACAUAAAUUUGAUUGAAAUACAUUAUCUGUAAUUUUUAAAAGGCCUCUAAUCAUAGAUUGAUAUUCAAUUGGAAACUA